AAUUUAAAUAGCCAAUAUAUUGGUUUAAGAACAUUAGGUUGGCCAUAUGGAACCUACUAUUAGUCCCUGGAAUAUACCAAUUUUUGUAAUUAAGAAAAAGUCUGGUAAAUGGAGAUUGGUGCAAGAUCUCAGGGCAAUUAAUUAUGUUAUUGAGCCCACGGGAGCUUUACACCCAGGGCUUCCUUCAGACCAUUAUCCAAUGGUGAUAGAUCUGAAAGACUGUUUUUUUCACUAUACAUUUGCACCCAGACGACUGUAAAAAAAA
rnacentral:sRNA from 1 species